GAGUUUGAUCAUGGCUCAGGACGAACGCCGGCGGUGUGCCUAAUACAUGCAAGUCGUACGCACUGGCCCAACUGAUUGAUGGUGCUUGCACCUGAUCGACGAUGGAUCACCAGUGAGUGGGCGGACGGGUGAGUAACACGUAGGUAACCUGCCCUGUACAGGGGGAUAACAAUCAGAAAUGACUGCUAAUACCGCAUAAGACCACAGCACCGCAUGGUGCAGGGGUAAAAACUCCGGUGGUACAGGAUGGACCCGCGUCUGAUUAGCUGGUUGGUGAGGUAACGGCUCACCAAGGCGACGAUCAGUAGCCGGCUUGAGAGAGUGAACGGCCACAUUGGGACUGAGACACGGCCCAAACUCCUACGGGAGGCAGCAGUGGGGAAUAUUGCACAAUGGGGAAACCCUGAUGCAGCAACGCCGCGUGAGUGAAGAAGUAUUUCGGUAUGUAAAGCUCUAUCAGCAGGGAAG
rnacentral:rRNA from 1 species